AGUCACCACAGUCCUCCAUUGUUUAUCACUCAUCCUGUGCAUCACUCAUGGGGAAAGAGCAGCCAAUCAGCAUUCAGACUUUCCAAAGAGGAAACUGACAACUUGGAUCCCAGCAGUUGUUUUAUUAUCCCCCCAGAGAGUGCGUGCAGUUGAAGUUUCUCAUGGAAAGUCAAUCAGCGAAAUAAACAAAAUGCCUACAGAAUGAUGUCAAUGGCACCACUCAUCAGAUAGCAAGCUGCAUUAUGAAGUAACAGAUGAGGUCUUUCCGGCCUUGAAUGCCUUCUGCUCAACCUUUGUCUGCACUUUAAGAGCAACUUCAGUCUUCAUCUCAGUCAGGAUGCCCUCCAUGUCAACAGCAUAUGGUGACUAGUUAAGGGGUAGACGUGCGCCACCUGGCUCAGCCUUGAGAAUUUUGCUUGAGUUGCUGAGACAAAGAUAUGUGCUUUCCACUGGGAUAUAACUGUGGUAGAAUAAAGGAAAGACUCCCAAAAGCCACCUUUGCAACCCCAGUGAAGAGUCUAAUGGAGGGUUGACGCCAACACAGAGAAAACCAAGUCCAGGGAUGGUGAGAGACUGUGUGCGCCCCUGGAUCCAGGUACUGAAUGCUGGCUAGGUCCAUCCCUGGACUUUUCAGGGGGUGAGGGAUGAGGAAGGAACAGACUGUGAUGACUAUCACCAUUUGAGUUUUACUCUGCUAUAUGCCGCUCUUCUAUCAAGUAACCCGAGGAAACACCUUAUAGGAAUAGCUCUCAAGACGUGGUUCCUGGGCCAGCAGCACCUGGUAGCUCGUUAGAGAUGGUCAACGCUGGAGCAUGAGGAAAGCAAAUUGGGUUGAACCUCUUCACAGGACCUGCUUCCUGAGAUCUUCUCGCCAGCAGCCUGCAGUGUGGGCUUUCUGAGAACAGAGGGCAUGAGGAAACGCCACAGCCCCAGAGACGUUCUCUGCCUGCAGGAUUUUCAGAAAAUGAAUGACCUGCCUCAUCCAAGUGGGCAGACUUCAUGACUGCAGUUUCCACAUAGAUUCUCGGAGCAGAAGACAUCUCAUCAUCUGGUAGAGGAGUCAUUAUCUUUACAAAUCUGUAGAACAAAUCAUCAAAUAUCAGAAGUUUCCCAAGACCAGACAACAAUGGGAAAAGACGAAAAUGCUCUUAUUCCUGUUCAAGGUAAAGGAAUAUGGAGGUAAACGGAAACAGUGAUAACAUUUAAAGCAAAGGCUAUUGAGAUGCCUUCAAUAAUCACUAGCCGGGAGCUCACUCACAAGAUAAGAAGGAAAAAUCUGUGCUGCUCACGGUCCUCUCGGUGUCUUGGUCCAGUGGAAAGGAAUUUGAUGAAGCUCAUAAGAGGCAGUGUCCUGCCAAAUUAUCAGACACACAGGGAAUUCAAUAAUAAACAUUUUUCAAACCA
rnacentral:lncRNA from 1 species